rnacentral:sRNA from 1 species
CAAAAAAAGCAAAAAAACAA